ACAAACAAACAAACAAAAAUAUGGGAUUAACAAAUAACCAAGACCCUGGGAAAAAGAACAUCAAUAGGUUACACAACACGAUUAGAGGCAAUGGAAAAAAAAUUACAGAAUUUUUGAGUUGGAAGUGACUUCCCAGAUCAUGGUGCCUAACCUCAUGUACCUGAAGAGGACGGAGAGGGUCAGAGAAGUUAAGGUACCCGUCACUGGAAAAGAAAUGUAUCUAUUGACUUCCUCAUUCUACAGCUCCUCACCUCCUGCCUGCCUAAGCUCCAGUUGCAAGGAAGGGAGAUAGAGUGAGAAGAAUAAAAAUAAAGAAGUUGCUCAUCUCUUCAUUUUGCAUGUAAGUGAUGAUUGCCUUUCUUCUCUUAGCAAAUUGGCUAGUAUGGUCUAUGUUCAACAAGUAUUCCAUUUGCUACCUUCUCCCAGACACUAUUCGAAAUAUACACAUACAGUGAUCUUACAAUUAGCCCAUUCUCAUACAGGAAGAAAAUGCAAUCUUCAUGAAAAUCCCCUAACUCCACUUCAGACACUGAAGUUCACCUUUUUGAAGUGUACUGAGCCUGACAGCUAGGCCAGAAUCUUAGGAAAGUACCUCCAUUAGAAGGUUAACCUAGAGAAAGAAAAAGAAGUGCCAGGCUUUGCAGAAGAACAGGGGAACUGUGGCAUUGUGAAGGAUGUGGCUGAGUUCAGAGGGUCAUGAAGGAAUGGGAAAUGCUUUGGAAGAACUUGAGGAUGAGAUCUCCUGAUAAGGUGUGAUUGAAUUUUUUAAAGGAGGACCUUGAAGUUUGCACAGCAUGGUGACGGUGACACCAAAUGAAAAGAGGACUGAGAACAGACUGUAAGCGCCCAGCAUAAUGAGCAUUAACACUUACUGUGAUGGGGAGACUGUUUCCAUGAAUGCCAACUGAGAUCUAGAAGACUGUGUUAGGUUUUUAACAGCCAUAUCCUACAAUGGGAUUAUAUUUGAGUUUGUAACCACCUAAAAUCCUCAGACCUUCUUUUUUUUUCCCAUGAAAAUGAGUGAGUCUCUUGUCUUUUAUCUGUAUGAUAACAUUUUAAAUUUAAAUAUAGGGUUUUAUGUUUAUUCCUGUUAUAUUUAAUCUCUUUGGUUUUGAUCCAGCAAUUCAGCCUGCCAAAAAUUCAGAUUGCUAAAUAAGGGAUACCAAUCAGAUGUUUUCUAUCUUCCCUGGAGAAACUAAGGAACUUCAAGUUUAAAAUGCCUCAUGAAGAAUUGGGAUAAAAUAUAAAGAAUUUCCUGAAGAAAGGGAGGAAGAUGAUUGUGUACUGAAUGAUUGCAAUAGAACAUCUGAAAAUGUAAAAUGAAAAGGAUAACUGAACUUUUCUAUGAAGAGCUUGAUUAUGGCCAUACAUUGAAUUAAUGAGCAUUCAGUGAGUCCACAGUUCUUUGUUGAGGGUCUCCUGCAUGCCAUACACUGUGCUACGUCCUGGGGCUCCAUAAAUUCUUUGUUAACAAAAUAAAAAUACCCCCAUACAGAGAAGCACUUUCAGAUACAUUACCUCAUCUCUAACAGAACACACAGUCAACAGAACCAUGCGGAGGCUGAUCAAUAUUCUAAACAAUAGUUUCAUAAAUACUGUCCCUAGACUCGUCUACUCACUGGGAGCUGCAGGGGUUGGUAUUCUAGCUAGCAAAUGAAACAAUCUGCAUACAUGCUUAAAUCAAGUUUGUUUAAAAUUAGAAAAUGGCAUAAUGUAUUCAAAAGUUUUUAUGCAGUAUUUGCAUGGAAUUUAAAAUAUGCUACAUGCUUUGAAUUAGGAGAGCAGAGCGAUGUGUAGCUCAUCUAUUGGUCUGAUCGAAUGUUUAAAAAUCAAAUUUUAGAGAGCUCUGUACUUAAAUAACUGUAAAAGAAAAUAAAAUCAGAAUGCAUAA
rnacentral:lncRNA from 1 species